UACGGGGGGAGCAAGCGUUGUUCGGAUUUACUGGGCGUAAAGGGCGCGUAGGCGGUCAGCACAAGUCAGUUGUGAAAUCUCCGGGCUUAACUCGGAAAGGUCAACUGAUACUGUGCGACUAGAGUGCGGAAGGGGCAACUGGAAUUCUCGGUGUAGCGGUGAAAUGCGUAGAUAUCGAGAGGAACACCAGUGGCGAAGGCGGCGACCUGGUCCGAUACUGACGCUGAGGCGCGAAAGCGUGGGGAGCAAACAGG
rnacentral:rRNA from 1 species